CGGCUGCUAGAGUACUACGAGCGUGUGCUUAAAACUCAAAGAACUUGGCGGCUCGUUAACUACCCAGGGGAAUAUGCGCCUUAAUCCGAUGAUCCGCGUUACAUCUUACUGUACCUUGAAAGAGAACAGCUGGUGUAUUGCCGUUGUCAGCUUGUUGUUCGAGCAGAAUGGAACAGGCUUAAUGGAACUAGCGAUUCGUCGAUAGGGUCCACGAAUUCAGGUCGUAAUACUGCCAAUGGUACAAGGGAGUGGGUAUUACAAUUCCAAUUCAGAACUACGGACCCUGAAAAGAAUGAAAUUAUCAGGUGAAGGUGGACUUGGGAGUAAGAAAGGAUUAAUAUGCCUUUCUGAACAUGAAUCUAACUUGUGUACAAACCGCCCGUCGCUCUCGCCGGAAGGGGAGAUAAGUCGUAACAGGGG
rnacentral:rRNA from 1 species